AUGAUGUUCAGCACCUCCAAAUCUGAGACCAUGGUUCUCGACCGGAAAAGGGUGGCUUGCCAACUCCGGGUUGGGGGAGAGGUCCUACCUCAAGUGGAGGAGUUUAAGUAUCUCGGGGUCUUGUUCACGAGUGAGGGUAGGAGGGAUCGGGAGAUCGACAGGCGGAUUGGUUCAGCAUCUGCAGUGAUGCGGACGCUGAGCCGAUCUGUCGUGGUGAAGAGGGAGCUGAGCCAGAAAGCCAGGCUCUCGAUUUACCGGUCGAUCUACGUCCCAAUCCUCACCUAUGGUCAUGAGCUUUGGGUAAUGACCGAAAGAACGAGAUCGCGGAUACAAGCGGCCGAAAUGAGUUUCCUCCGUAGGGUGGCCGGGCUCAGCCUUAGAGANCGCAGCCGUGGUGUGGAGUGUGUCGAGUUUGGUGGCAGGAGAAUCUCGUCUCUGCUUUUUGCGGAUGAUGUGGUCCUCCUAGCUUCAUCCAGCUCUGACCUUCAGCUCUUGCUGGGUAGGUUCGCGGCCGAGUGUGAAGCGGCUGGGAUGAGGAUCAGCACCUCCAAAUCUGAGACCAUGGUUCUCGACCGGAAAAGGGUGGCUUGCCACCUCCGGGUCGGGGGAGAGGUCCUACCUCAAGUGGAGGAGUUUAAGUAUCUCGGGGUCUUGUUCACGAGUGAGGGUAGGAGGGAUCGGGAGAUCGACAGGCGGAUUGGUUCGGCGUCUGCAGUGAUGCGGACGCUGAGCCGAUCUGUCGUGGUGAAGAGGGAGCUGAGCCAGAAAGCCAGGCUCUCGAUUUACCGGUCGAUCUACGUCCCAAUCCUCACCUAUGGUCAUGAGCUUUGGGUAAUGACCGAAAGAACGAGAUCGUGGAUACAAGCGGCCCAAAUGAGUUUCCUCCGUAGGGUGGCCGGGCUCAGCCUUAGAGAUAGGGUGAGGAGCUCGGACAUUCGGGAGGGACUCGGAGUAGAACCGCUGCUCCUCCGGAUCGAAAGGAGCCAGUUGAGGUGGUUUGGGCAUCUGGUCAGGAUGCCUCCUGGACGCCUCCCUGGGGAGGUGUUUCAGGCAUGUCCUGCCGGCAGGAGGCCCCCGGGUUGA
rnacentral:lncRNA from 1 species